rnacentral:lncRNA from 12 species
UUUGUCCAGCUCAUUCAAAAAAGUAGUCACCUAGCCAUGGUCUUGAUUGUGUGGGACAAGUGGACUUCUACUUCACCCAAGGGUUAAUAUGGACUUCCAAAAUGAGAUUUCUGUCAUGGCACCUAACACAAUGUGAACUAAGAAAAGUGGCUUCAUUAAACAAUGAAAAGUGUUGUGGAUUCAAGACUCAUACCUAUCCUAUGAAGGAUUCAAUGAAAUAUUGGCCACAGUUCACCUAUGUGGGGAUUUGAGGUUUUGAUUACAGAACAUUGGUCAUCAAUUCUGGUGUCCAUCCAAAUGACCUAUGGACCUCUUUCAAAAAUCUCUGUGUCUGGCCCAUCCUCCUGAGAUGAACUUAAGAAAACUCUGCACACCAUCAGGUAACAAUUUUGUCUUUUUCAGAAAACAGAUGAGUUCAAUAAACUGUGACCAUUGUUUUUAACU